AUAGACAUCUAGCCAUGAGCGGCCGCGAUGCUUAAUGAUCAUAAUACACUCAUCGAUACAGCGUCAAGAGGCUGCGGCCGGCUUGCUUGCAGCUCUCGCGCUGGGUGGUAAGCGGUGGAACUCGGGACUGGAUCUGCUGCGAGGAUAGCUGGAUCAGCAAAGACACAGCAAAACAAGCCCUGGGCGCUGCUGCUGCGGGGCUUGCUCUCCCUCCUCACGGCGCUGAGCACGGGCCCCAAUACUGGGGCUGCUGGCCCGCCGCGCGCGUCUCUCAUUUCAGCGCGUCAUUGGCCAUUGUGCGUGGGAAGCGAAGGGCAGAAGCCGACAAGCUUGCAAAGUGGGCCAUGCCAGAGAGGGGGCGGCGCCGACGCCAACGUACAGGGCUGCUGCGCUGACGGGGCGACGGGCGGCCGUGCUCACCCAGCUGCGCGCGGGCACGUGUCCGCACCCUGGAUUCCUGCAGCGGUGGGGGUGGCACAGCGGCCCACGCCGACGCGCAUGCGUGCGAGGGAUGCGGCGUCUCCUCCGUGUGGCCGCGUGGGCUGAUGCGGCGCAGAUGCCGGGGACAGGACGAGCGCGCCCCGAAUGGCACCACCGUGUGUGCCAGAGCCCGGUGUGGGAGGGUCUCCGCACCAUAUUGCGGAACGCCGCGGCUGGGGGGGGGGCGAGAGAGGGGAGAGAGGCCCGGCAUGCAGGCAGUGUGUGUGGCCGGGCCUCGGAGGGCCCUGGCCCGCGGCUUGCCCACCCCCUGCGUGGGCUCCCCCGGCACGCGGGGCUAGGCCAGCCCCUGCCACCCGCACGACGGACGCCACCGCUUUCCGCCCUCGAGCAGGACCGUGGACGUGGCCGGCGUUUGCAUCAUGGCAUGCGGUGCACCCGGGCCGGUGUGGCGCCGGUGGUGCGGCAGGUGGGCGGUGAGGGGGGAGGGAGAGGCGGGGAAGAAGGCGGAGAGCCCGCUCGACGCAUGGCCCCGCUUCGACGGCAGCGCGGUUCGUCGCGGAGGAGCAGGGUUGCGCCGUGGCGCAGCAGAGGGGUGGGUGAGCUGUGGCCGUGAUAUGGGCUUCCUUGCUGACCUGCUGGCAGCGGUAGAAUGGGCAGGCUUCUGGAAAGUAAAAGCAGAACCCAAAGAAGGCAGCGAAGGAGUGAGAGAGUCGUGCCGGCGUGUGCAUGUGUGCUCUGCUUUGUGUGUGUGUGUGUGGUUGUUUCGCUGACGUUUGUGUUUUUGCUGGGCUGCGUAGACUUGGGUGGUGUUGGCUCCCCUCUUUUCAAUCGCUGCUGAGUAACAGAGAAGAGGGAAGAGAAGGGCCAAGAAAAUAGGGAGAAUGAUGCGCAGUGCAUUUGCGAGCUCUCGCUUUCUGCCCCAUUUUUGUUUAUUCGUGCAGCAGCUUCUGUAUUAUGGUAGUUAGUCUCCGUUUGACGGUGCUUCCCUCGUCUGUCUUUUUUUUUUCUGUGUCUGGGGCUUGUGCAUGAGCCACGGGUGUAUUAGAGGUUGAUGAGGAUUCGUUUCUUGGACGUGCUUUCUCAUUCUCUCGUGAUUUGUGUUGUGCCGUGGUUGUGUACCUCUGCGUGUGCGUGGGGGUGCGCAUAUAGCGCAUGCCCGCAUGCUGGCGAGAAGGCAUAUUGUUUAGCGAGCGUACAGGCGCCGCGCGUUUAUACUCAUUGUUUUUCCCACUCACCCAGUAUGCUCUCAUUCACACCCGCGCAGUUGUGUUUUUUUUUUGUGUGUGUUUUUGGUUCUGUACUCUCAUCAAAGGUCUUCUGCUCUCAUUUUGCUUUGCCUCCCCUAUUCGGGGUCAUCGACGUUAAUGAAAUUCGUUUUGUUCCGUGUUUUUUUUUUUGUUCUCACUCCGUUCUCACCGUUCUUUUUCUGUUUUUGAGUUUGUUUUUCUUCGGCCUUGUUGUUCCCUCUGUGUGUAUAUGUGCGUAGCUGGCUUGGAGAAUGUGAAAAGCACCUCGCGCUCUUGCUAUUGAUGCCGGUGACCGGCCGCCUUUGGGGGUGCCGUGUAGAGCAUUUGUUCGUCUUGGGAAGGAAAAGAAAAAAAAACGUGCAAGUACCCCAGAGUCUUGUUCUUUUUUUUUUUCGUGAAAAUGGGGGGGGGAUGCGUUCGUGUUCGCGAAGUGUCAGAGAAGGGCUUUGCCCAGGUGCUGGCAUUCCGCUGAGGAUGGCGCCCUCGGAGGGGAGGUGGGAAGGGGGGUGCAGGCGCCUGUGUAUAUGCGCAGGUACUGUCAAAGUUGGCGGGCAACGGUGAGGGAGUGACAAGCGAUAGGAUUGCGGAGAUGCAGUAGCGUAGCUGCUUACUCUUUUUUUACACUCUUGCUUUCUUCUGAAGCUGUUCAACCCUACAUUAGCCGAAGACAGCGUGAUGGUCUCUCCCAUUGCGCGACUGUGGAGUGGGAGGGUCGUGGCACAGGCUUCUUCGCUACCCUUCAAGGAAGUAUCGCUUCAGGGUGUGUAUGCACUCUCCUUUUUUUUAGUAGCAGAACGCUCCUUGGCCUCCUGUUCCUCUGCAGAUGUUGUCCUCGCCUUUCCUCUUCCACUCCUCCUCCUUGUUCGUGCCAUGUGGCCGGGCAACGCAGUCACCGCCGCCGCCUCCCCUCCAAUGUCCCUUUCCCCACACUCUCUUCCUUAGUAGCUAGACGGCGCUGAUGUACUUGUAACGGCAUUCUCUAACCCCUUCCCUUCUUCUUCAAACCUACAGUUUUUAUCUUUUUGUUUUUCUUUCCUCUCUCUCCCUUUACCAUCUCUCGUUUCGAUUUCCGUUUCCCUCACCAAAUUCUUGUUACCUAUAUUAACUUCCGUUUUUAUUUUGUUUUGCGUGCUUCGUUAUGUUUACCUGAUAGGCGUGGAACUUGUGCGUGCCCAUCUCUCUGUGUAUGGGCGGGGUUUCUUCUUUUUUUUCCGCCUACUGAUUCACGUGUAUUUUGCGUUUAGGCGCAUGAGGGAUCGCUGGUUCAUGUUUUCCCUUUUUCUUUCGUUUCUUGCUCUUCCCUGACACUUCUCGCGUUUGUUGUUCUGUGGAUUGCGCGAGUACUCAUACCACAUAGCCCCCACCAUUCUUUUUCGUUGUUGCUUGUUUUCCUUCACUCUUCGUUUUUUCUCUAUUGAGCAAGUACGAAAAGUGAAGUAGAAAAUCACGCAGCCGCUCGUGUUGGUUUGCGGUAUGCCUUUAGUACCACUCCCAGCACACACACUCACACACACCUCCCUCCCUCCCUCCCAGUCUCUCUUUUUCUUGGCUCCGUGGGUAGUGCUGCAUGCUCGAACGCGCAUCCCUUCUCUCCGUGUGUGUGUGUGUGCUGCGCCUCAUGUGAUCGCGUUUGUCUGCUUUCCUCUGUUGUUCUUCGCGCAUGUGUGUGACCUUCUCGCUCCUCCUUUCACUUCCUCGUCGUUGCCGUGACAAGAAGACACCAGCUUGGUCGUGCCUGUGGGAGAGCGCAGAGAAGCACGGGGAGGAUAACGAGGGCUACGGCCAACAUCGCGGGCUCUAGACAAGAUCUUAAGGAUGGAGGGGGCAAGCAAACGAAAAACGCUAGGAGGACAUCUACUUUUUUUUUUCAUCGCAUCAUUCAUCUCAAUGCUAUAACAGACCAAAACGACAGCAACAGGAGGGAGAGGCAACCUAGCCUACACGAAAAAUUGUGAGCACCGCCGCCGAGACCCUCCCCGCAGCAGUCUUCACGGGUGAGAGGGAGUGGCAGCCAACAAUAUUUCGUUUUCUCUUUCUCACGCGACCAUCACCCACACGAGCGCAGCGCCGCAUUCGUGUGCAACAAACAGGGGCGGCUGUGCCCGCAGAAACGGAGGAGGUGCGCACGCUUGCCCAGUCCAGGCUCUGUGCGUGGGUCCGUGCUUCAUGUUGGCGUUUUGAGAGCCGCUCCGGUUCUCCCCGCUCGGGCACCGCGCGCCACGCGUAGAGAGGGGCGCAUGUGGAACCAAAACGGGUGGAGGGAGGGACGGCGGUGAGAAGGGGUGGUUGGCUCCUCCCUUCCCUUCUUGCUGCCUUCCUGACCACUAGAAGGCCAACGGUGGCACCGACAUAUCUUCUCACAAGUUCGUCAUCGUAUGCCUUACUCAUUCCUUCCUCUAUCCCCUCCACGCUUUUUCUUUUCCGUGGGAUAACGCCCUCGACACCCGGGUGACGGAGGGGGGGACCUCAAUGUGUGGUAUCUGAG
rnacentral:misc_RNA from 1 species